rnacentral:lncRNA from 10 species
AAGAUGCUCCUCAGUGGAGUAGAUUAAAUUGAUAUCUCAAGACUAGUAAAAUGUACAAUUGUUCUUGUCCAUAUAGGAAACUAUAACAUCUUCAUAGUAUUUUUAAGGAACUCUAGUUAAGAUAUAAAUCAAGGUGACCAUCUCAGUGAAAGACCUAUGAAUUACUUGGUGGUUGUGACUUUUCCAUUAUAAUUAAUAAGACUUCUAUUACGCUUAGACUAGUCAGUGGUUGUCAUGCCGAUGCAAAUAUUAGCUUAUCUCCAUGGCUAUAUCCACCUAUUUGAUCAAGUAACAAUGGCUUAUCUAACUCCAGAUAUAAAGCUUUCAGAAAGAGAAACAUGAUAUAUUACUCACUUGUUUUUCUGUGGAACUCUCAAAGAGUAAAUGGAAAAUUAGCUUUGUGUUUUUGUUUGAAGAAGACUAUGUAGAGGAGAGUUAUUUGAGCUCUUAGCAAAGGAAGCUCCAUUUGCCUCUUUUCUUUUCCUCUGUCUAGUUUUUCCAUGAGAUGAGGAUAAUUGUAGGAACCUACUGCAUUUCUCUGUUCUUGAAGUAAUGACUCAUUUCUUGAGAACCUCUGGUCUCCAAGCUCUGAAAUUCUCCAAAAGUGAUUGGCACAUGCCUAAGUUUCCAAUUACACUUUCUAUGUGUCCCAGAUGAAAGCUUCUCCUUUUCAUUUACAUUUUUCCUCAAUUAUUUUCUCAUUCAGGGAAGGGCCCUUGUUUAUUUAUAAAGCAGAUCCCAGACAGUCAUAGUGAGAGGUGACAGCAUGCUGGCAGUCGUCGCAGCCCUCGCUCGCUCUUGGCGCCUCCUCGGCCUGGGCGCCCACUCUGGCCGCGCCUGAGGAGCCCUUCAGCCCGUCGCUGCACUGUGGGAGCCUCUUCCUGGGAUGGCCGAGGCAGGAGCCAGCUCCCUCAGCCUGAGGGGAAGUGCGGAGGGAGAGGCACGGGCAGGAACCGGGGCUGCGCGUAGCCCUUGCGGGCCAGCUAGAGUUCCGGGUUGGCGUGGGUUUGGCGGGCCCCGCCUCCCUGGGCAAUGAGGAGCUUAGCACCCGGACCAGCAGGGUUUAGCAACCGGGCCAGCAGCUGAGGAGGGUGCGCUGGGUCCCCCAGCAGUGCCAGCCUACCGGCGCUGCGCUCGAUUUCUCGCGGGGCCUUAGGUGCCUCCCCGCGGGGCAGGGCUCCGGACCUGCAGCCCGCC